UGCAGCAUCAUUAAGGUGACUAGAAAGCAAGUGUAAAAAAUCAGGACAGGGGCAGGGGGGGCUAUAGGUGGCUAUAUCAGAAAAAGCCCCCAAAGCAGGACUGUCCCAAUAAAAUUG